UUUAGAAUGCCCAUCAGAAAAGAGAUUAAAAACAGUAAAUCUCAGGCCCAUGAGACCAAAACGGAAUCUGGCAAGGAGCCUGCUCUACACAAGACAUCCUCCUAUUCUUGGAGACAGCAAACUUCAUCUUGACCAGCCAAGGCCUGGGAAAGAUUUUUUUUUUCUUCUCCUCUCUCACUCUCUGUCUGUCUGUCUCUCUCUUUCUCUCUGAACCUGUUUAGUUUGGUCUCUCAUUAUUUUUCUCUCCCUCCCUCCUCCCCUCUUCUUUCCACCCUCUCUUUCAUUUGUCAAUCCUAAACCUAAAAUGAAAUCUAUUCCCAAAAGUGAGAAGGAAGUCUUAAUUCCCCUAGACAAAAAGGGGAAAAAAUUCCUGAAAGGGAUGAUUGCAAAAUGUAAACCAGAGAAGGGACUAUUCCUCCGAUAAUGAAGAAGAAGAUCUAUGGAAAGAGAAGAAAGCUAUAAACAGAUUAAUCUACAUAUUGGUUUGUUGCCAGUGCUUGUUCUGGGAAAAUCAAGAUAUAUGGGGAGAUUCAACAAAGUCCAAGAAAGUGACACCAUUCUAUCGGGAAGAAGCCCUCCAGCAGAUAGCAGCAGUAGCUCAGCUGAGCAGUCACUCAGUGGAGAAGAAACUCAGCAGCAUCUCUGUGGGGGAGCAGCAAGUGGAAGAGAAGAACAGUGAUGAGUCCCAGCAGGUGGCUGAGGAAGCUCUGAGAGGCAUUCCAGCUAGGACAGAACUGCAGGAGUGAAAGUUGGCCUGGGAGUGUCCUCUCUCCCACCAGCAGCAGAAGAGGUGUGGAAAAGAAGGGGAGAUUGCACUUUUGCCUAUGGGGAAUUAUUCCUUAUUAUUUACCUUAUUAUUCUAUUUAAUUAAACAUCUUUGGCUUUGCA